rnacentral:rRNA from 1 species
GACAUAGGUCGCAAACGUUAUCCGGAAUUAUUGGGCGUAAAGGAUGCGUAGAUGGUUCAGUAAGUUACUGGUGGGAAAUCGAGGCCCAACCUCGUGGAAGUCAGUAAUACUGUUGAACUUGAGUGCAGGAGAGGUUAACGGAACUUUAUGUGGAGCGGUAAAAUGCAUAGAUAUAUAAAAAGAACAUCAAUAUGGCGAAGGCAGUUAACUAUUCUGCUACUGACGUUGAGGCAUGAAAGCGUGGGGAGCAAAACGG